AUGACGUCAAAUCAGCACGGCCCUUACGUCCGGGGCGACACACGUGUUACAAUGGUAGGUACAGAGGGCCGCUACCUGGUGACAGGAUGCUAAUCUCGAAAACCGGCCUCAGUUCGGAUCGAAGUCUGCAACUCGACUUCGUGAAGCUGGAUUCGCUAGUAAUCGCGCAUCAGCCAUGGCGCGGUGAAUACGUUCCCGGGCCUU
rnacentral:rRNA from 1 species